UUCACAGGGCUUGGUUCACUUCCUGGCACUGACACGGCUGCUCACAGCCACCUGUACCUCCAGUCCCAGGGGAUCUGAAGCCCUUUUCUUUGGGCACAUGUAUUCAUACAGGCAAAACACGCACAUAUAACAUAAAAUAAAUAACUCUUAGGGAAAUAUAUUAAAGUACAAAAUAAGCAGUUUUAUUAUAUGAUAGGGUAGACGUUUUAAUAGCAGCUCGGUGAUGAGAAGCUACACGAAUGAGAACAAACUAUUACAACACACCUGAAACAGGCUUUAUGGGUUUGACACGCUUUACAUUAGAGAAUUGAUAUUUAGUUGUAAAACUGAGUGUACAUUUUAAAGGGGCAGGAAAAAAGAACAAAGCAUUUCUAAGUGGAGCUUGAACUUUGCAGGUGCAGAUGUCUGUGCUUAGCUUCCUCCUGCUGUUCACAAAGUCGGAUUUAAAUACGUGGUGUCAUUUUGCACUGAUUUGUCUGUUUUUUCUUGUAGGAAUGAAAUCAAAGGAUGUUUUUCCGUGAUAGAGUAAUGUUUACGCAUGUAUUCAGUAAUGUGAAGAUUUAUAUAAGGCCUGGUGACCUCAGUUAAUUCCGGGAUCCACAGUGUGGAAGAAGAGACCUGGCUCCUGAAAGUUGUCUUCUGACCACAUAUACACAAUAAGUAAACAAGUGUAUCUCAAAAUAGUAAAGUUAAAACAUUAGAUUGCUGCUGUUUUCUCAAAUGUAAGCAUGAUGCAAAGGAUUUGACAGUUUUGUUUAAACUUUAUCUUCUUGAAAUGAGAAAGGGAUUAAACUAUCAAAAGAAUUAAACUCUUUGUUAUUCUU